CCUGAGCUGAGAGCAAGAGUCACAUGCUCAACCGAUUGCGCCACCCAGUAACAUGACUCAUGACUCAUGGACUAGAUAUGCUGUGUGGUUGACUCCUGUUCCAGGUAGAAGUAUAAAAAAGGCUUCAGGAUAGAAAUGAAAUGUGAAGAGGUCAUUACUCUUACUUGUCAGAUGAAGAAAUAAAGGACUAGAAACUGAGAUCAAAAUCGCAUAGCUCAAGUGUCAAAGGUGAGCUGAUCCAUGGUUAGCUAAAUUCCAAAGCCUGUGGAGUUAAUCACUGUGGGUAGCAGACAGAUUCUAGGGUAGCCACCAUGAUUUCUACCUCUUGGUGUUUCCAUCUUUGUGUAAUCUCCUCAAGUGUGGGCAAACCUUGUGACUUGCUUCUAAACAAUAGAACAUGGCAAAGGUGAUAGACUAUCACUCUUUCUUGCUAGCCCACUCACUUUAGAGUGUUUAGAGCCGCUCUUCUCUCCUCUGAAGCAGACAUAUUGAGAAAAUUUACAUGAAAAUGGACUGCAGGUGGACUCUAGGAGCUGAAGGCAGCCUAGAGCCAGCAAGAAGCCAGGGCUCUCAGUCCUAGAACUGCAAGAAAAGGAAUUUCGUUACCAACCUGAAUGACCUUGGAAGCAGACUGCUCCCCAGUCCAGCCUCCAGAUGAAAACACAGACUGACAUCCUUUGAUCGAAGACAUAUGAGAUCCUGAGUAGAAGGCCAAGCUACACUCUGUGUAGACUCCUGACUCACAGAAAA